rnacentral:rRNA from 1 species
GUGGGUAAUAUUGGACAAUGGGCGCAAGCCUGAUCCAGCCAUGCCGCGUGAGUGAUGAAGGCCUUAGGGUUGUAAAGCUCUUUCAGUGGGGACGAUAAUGACGGUACCCACAGAAGAAGCCCCGGCUAACUUCGUGCCAGCAGCCGCGGUAAUACGAAGGGGGCUAGCGUUGUUCGGAUUUACUGGGCGUAAAGCGCACGUAGGCGGAUCGUUAAGUCGGGGGUGAAAUCCUGGAGCUCAACUCCAGAACUGCCUUCGAUACUGGCGAUCUUGAGUCCGGAAGAGGUGAGUGGAACUCCUAGUGUAGAGGUGGAAUUCGUAGAUAUUAGGAAGAACACCAGUGGCGAAGGUGGCUCACUGGUCCGGUACUGACGCUGAGGUGCGAAAGCGUGGGGAGCAAACAGGAUUAGAUACCCCUGUAGUCC